rnacentral:rRNA from 1 species
GAUUCGGCCAAUUGGUCCAUCUUUUAGAUGAGUACUGGUUGUGUUGGGUCUAUCCACCUGGUGAUACGUAAUGUCCUUUAUUGGAUGUUGCGGGUAGUCAGGACCUUUACCUUGAAAAAAUUAGAGUGUUUAAAACAGGCUUAUGCCGGAAUACAUUAGCAUGGAAUAAUAGAAUAGGACGAAGUUGUUUUAUUUUGUUGGUUUCUAGGAUCACCGUA